CUUCUGCUCCUUGUCUCCCGGAGGCUCCCUGCCCUCAGCAAUAGAAGUGCCCUGGUCUUUGCCAGAACCAAACAGUGGUCACAGCUAGGACCUGCACCGGGGGUCCUGAAUCCACCUUGCCCGGUGCCCAGAUGCCCCUCCUGCUCUCUGGAUGGAGCCCACCCUCAACAAGCACUCCGGCAGGACCAGGUUCCAUGAAGACAAUGCCACUUGGAAUCUGAUAACAAUUGCGGGUCCAGAUGACUCUCGUGGGCAGCAUCCUCCAUGUGGACUCAGCCAUCCAGGUGGCCUCUAUCCUGCAGUGUCCACCUCACAGCUCUGGCACCAUCAUGGUGCAGAGUGCAGCCCUAGGAAGAUGGGAGACCCAGGAACUGGCCCUGUCUCUGCUGAUAGCUCCGUCAGCUUGAAUGAGGUCUAAGCCCCACGGACACUCUGCAUAAAGAAGCAUGCAUGUUGUAUGGAGUCUCACUCUGAUGCCCAGGCUGGAGGGCAGCGGCAUCAUCUUGGCUCACUGCAACCUCUACCUCCCGAGUUCAAGCAAUUCUCCUGACUCAGCCUCCUAAGUAGCUGGGAUUACAGGCACACACCACCACACUUGGCUAAUUUUGUAUUUUUAGUAAAGACAGGGUUUCACCAUGUUGGCCAGGCUGGUCUCAAACUCCCCACCUCAGAUGAUCUCCCUGCCUCGGCCUCCCAAAGCGCUGGGAUUACAGGCGUGAGCCACCGCGUCUGGCCGGUACUUCAACUAAAUAUUUAAGAUUAUUAGUACAUUGAGCUCAUCAAUGCUUCCACUUUGGGGUCCAAGAGCAAAACUGGAGCUAAUUCAGAUUAUCACCACCUAAGUUGCUUACUUUUAAAAAUUAUUAUUAUUUUUAAAUUUGGAAUGUCUCAGGGUUUCUGCUCCAAUUCAUAAUUCCUGUGUCUUUAGUGGAAAUGUCAGUACUUUAUAGGAUGACACACACAGCAUUAUUCCUGGCUGUUGAGACACCAAAAAGCCUGAUUUACUGUUCCUUCCAGAGGAUCCCCAACACCGACAUUGACUAAAUUCCUUUUCUGCAAGCAUCCUGGCAGAUGUUCUGGUUAAGACCUUGCACCGUCACGAGCUCAUCCUUUUCAUGCUCCAACAGCUGUUGAGUGCUGUGUAGCCACCACCCAAGCAUCUGACAUGUCGAUUUCAUUCUAGAGCCCAGCUGGAACCCUAAGAGGUUGAAAGUGGAGUUUUGUCUCCUCUGCAGUGGACACUCAAAGAACUAGCCAGGAUGGGUUGGACCUGGGAGCAGAGAGACCAUGGCUCCCUUCCAAGGCUGGGAGAAGGGAGUUGCCACUCCUUCCCAAUCAAACCAUGCCAAGAACGAGGCUUUUGCAGGGAAAUCAGUGCAGAUGAGAACUUACCAACAGUUAAGAUGAAUAAAUAUAUCCAACUGCCUGGCCCAUGUCAACACGCAACAAUUAUUUGCUAAAAGAAAUAAAAAAGGGGCCGGGCAGGGUGGCUCAUGCCUAGAAUCACAGCACUUUGAGAGGCUGAGGCAGGCAGAUCACUUGAGGCCAGGAGUUUGAGACCAGCCUGGCCAACAUGGUGAAACCCUGUCUCUACUAAAAAUACAAAAAUUAGCCGGGUGUGGUGGUGCGCACCUGUAAUCCCAGCUACUCUGGAGGCUGAGACAGGAGAACUGCUUGAACUCGGGAGGCAGAGGUUGCAGUGAGCCAAGAUGCACCAGUGCACUCCAGCCUGGGUGAUAGAGUGAGACUCCAUCAAGAAAGAGAGAGAGAGAGAGAAGAAAGAAAAAGAAAGAGAGAGAGAGAAAGAAAGAAAGAGAGAGAGAGAGAGAGAAAGAAAAGAAAGAAAGAAAAGAAAGAAAGAACGAAAGAAGAAAGAAAGAAAGAAAGAAAGAAAGAAAGAAAGAAAGAAAGAAAGAAAGAAAGAAAGAAAGAAAAGAAAGACUGACUGCAUGAACAACAGCCCAGGAAACACAAGAGAAGUAGCGUGGAGUAGUGGCCAAGGAUGGGUGCUAGAAUCUCAGAGCCUAUAUCUGUAUAUCAAGAUGUCUCAGGCCAAUGCCUAAAAACAGUGUUCAAUAAAUAUCGAAUAGUAAUAUUACUACUGUUAUCACAAUUGAGAAUAACUGAGUGUCAACCAGCUGAUCUGCUUGCCAAUGAAGGGACUCCAGGAUCCUUAAGUCACUUCUAUUUUUCUCCACUUCCCUGGCAACUUUUUCUCCAAGACUAGAUCGAUUCAACACUCCUCCAAGUCCUGGGUUAACCUCAGUGGCCCUCUGCCUCCCAUUGUGAUCACCUUCGUCCACAGCAAUCUUUUCCUUCUCCGACAGCACAUUAUUACCUUGUCAUUGGGCACUUGAAGUAGACAUCCUUUGACAUCCUCUGUGAAUGUUACCUUAUUUCAUUCCUUGUUUUCCCAGCAUGUAAUGGGCAAACAAGGCCCUUCAAAAAACAGAUCUGACCCUGUUGACUUCUGCAGACACAUCUAGCAUCUCUUUCAACUUGAAAAAUCAUGUCUAUAUUCCUGCAUUCCUAAGCUACCAGCUAAAUUUUUUAUAAGUUUAAAUUUAUAUUUGGAUGUAAUUAUAUAUUUAUAAAUUACAUAUAUAUUUUAUAUUUUUAAGAUAUUUACUUGUGUAAAAUAAAUAAAUAAAUGGGUAAAAUUUUCAGCAUAUUGUAAAUACUGGAUAUUUUAAGAGAAAACCGUAAUAUAACUUAAAGUAUGUCCAACUGAGGCUCAAUACGAUUGUGAUUUGAUACCUGUCAUAAUUGAUUUUUAAAAAAAUACAUACAGGAGCUUCUCAUGGUUAGGAACUUUUCAUUGUUCUUUAUUCCCCUUGAACUUGUACACCCCUAGAAGAAUUUGAUCAUAAUGUAUCAUAGUUUUAUUCUUGGAAGUUUUUUUUAUUGAUUACUCUAUCACAUAUCACUGACUGCAACAAAAAUAUGCUCAUACAUUUACAUUUAAAUUUAAAAAAUGUCUCUGACUAUAAGUCUUUACAUUUUAAAAUAAGUUUUUUUUUAAACUUAUCAUUAUGGAUGAUCAUUCUGGUUGUUCGCAGAACACAAUUGAUCAAAGCAGCAUAAGUAUGGCAGAGCUCAGGAUAAAGAAUUAUUAAUCUGAAAAAAGUAAAAUUAUUUGGCUAUUCUUCUCUUAGUAUGAUAGGUGGGAUUUUUUUUUCCAUUAAUGUAUUCAUGAAUAUUACUUGUUAUUUUAAGGAGGCAGUUUCAUCAUCAAUUUUAUUCACACCGUUUUGUUUUUAUUGGUGUAAGCACUGAGCAUUCGUUCACAUAAACAAGCAGAUGGGAAAGGGGGGCCUUCUGUUGGAAGCCACGCACUUGUUUGGACUCCUUCCAGGUUAUGUGCCAAAAAUCACACAAUGAUUUAUCAUAAAAAUAUUUUUGAUAAUCUAUGAGCUGACAUCCCUAUUAGGUUCCUCUUCAAUUUCAGUGAAAGUGAAGAAUUGAAAACAAUUUGACUGUAAAGGGAUGUGGUUCCAGUUAUACACCCAGAUGGGGUACCCAGUUGUCAGAGAUGUUUGUGUUCUCAAUGCUCAGGCUAAUAUUUCAAAAUGUGUCUUUGCCUGAUGCCCUGAAGGACUUUUCCCAGGAGGGGAAAACGCCUUUGUAAGACGCAAGCUGGGUGAUGGCUUUUGUGUGAGGACGUCUUCCACCAUCCACCCUUCCCCAUCCUCCUUCUGUCCUGGGAGGCUGGUUGCAUGGACCACAGCAAUGGGCUCCCUUCUCUGCUGCUUCCAAGUUAUGUUCCCUGCCAGUGGUUGGAGGUCAGGGCAGGGAAGAAUAAAGUUGGGCUCCAUCUGUGGGAUGACCCAGGGUGGCUGCAUCUCUCUCAGGAAGGUCACAGCUCCUUCACAUUCUACACAGCCUCUCCUGUCUCCAGAUUCUGGAAACCUCUUUCUUCUCUAACUCUGCACAGGGCCCCACUAACCCUAGAGAGCUGCACUAUCCUUUGUGGCUUUCUUUACUUCACCCACACCUUUAUAAACAUUUCCUGUAUUAAACUUUCUUCGAAUUACCCAAUUUGAGUGUGCUUUCUGUUUUGUGUUAGUAUCCU
rnacentral:lncRNA from 1 species